rnacentral:rRNA from 2 species
UACGAAGGGGGCUAGCGUUGCUCGGAAUGACUGGGCGUAAAGGGCGCGUAGGCGGCUUACAUAGUUAGGCGUGAAAUUCCUGGGCUCAACCUGGGGACUGCGUCUAAUACAUGUAGGCUUGAGUGUGAAAGAGGGUCGUGGAAUUUCCAGUGUAGAGGUGAAAUUCGUAGAUAUUGGAAAGAACACCGGUGGCGAAGGCGGCGACCUGGUUCAUUACUGACGCUGAGGCGCGAAAGCGUGGGGAGCAAACAGG